UACAGAGGGUGCGAGCGUUUAAUCGGAAUUACUGGGCGUAAAGCGCGCGUAGGCGGCUUUGCAAGUCGAGUGUGAAAUCCCCAGGCUCAACCUGGGAACUGCAUUCGAGACUGCAUAGCUAGAGUAUGGGAGAGGGAAGUGGAAUUUCAGGUGUAGCGGUGAAAUGCGUAGAUAUCUGAAGGAACAUCAGUGGCGAAAGCGACUUCCUGGACCAAUACUGACGCUCAUGUGCGAAAGCGUGGGGGAGCAAACAGG
rnacentral:rRNA from 1 species